AUUAUACGUUGAUUAGGUUUUUUAUUUUAAUAUUGGUGAUAUCAAUUUACUAUAAAUACUAUAAAACUACACAACAAUGUACAAUUUUACACAGUUCAUAAAUAACAGGAAUAUAAGAAGACAUCAUGGUAUCAAAGACUAGCAUCGUGUGCAUCUUCUUGAUCAUUUGCUUUAUCAGCUCAGCUCACAUGUUCCCAAUGCCAUCUGAAUGUCCUAACAGAAGUAGCGCACCCCUAAAAACCAACAAUGCUAACGAGGUGCUAUCUGAUCUUAAUGUUGAAGUCAUAAGUCUUAAGGAUAUCUUGGGAUGCGCUGACAUUCUCACCUAAUAUAUUAUUUAAAAUGUCCAUUUGAUAUAAAAUCAAAAGGAAUUUAACAACAAAACUGAAAUCACUCUUUUAAGCAUA